AUUGAACGCUGGCGGCAUGCCUAACACAUGCAAGUCGAGCGAGCGGCGGACGGGUGAGUAAUGUAUGGGGAACUGCCUGAUGGAGGGGGAUAACUACUGGAAACGGUGGCUAAUACCGCAUACUAUCGGAUGAACCCAUAGGGGAUUAGCUAGUAGGUGGGGUAAAGGCUCACCAAGGCGACGAGCCCUAGCUGGUCUGAGAGGAAGAUCAGCCACACGGGGACUGAGACACGGCCCAGACUCCUACGGGAGGCAGCAGUGGGGAAUAUUGCACAAUGGGCGCAAGCCUGAUCGAGCCAUGCCGCGUGAAUGAAGAAGGCCUUAGGGUUGUAAAGUACUUUCAGCGGGGAGGCGUUACCCGAAGAAGAAGCACCGGCUAACUCCGUGCCAGCAGCCGCGGUAAUAC
rnacentral:rRNA from 1 species